GACGAACGCUGGCGGCGUGCUUAACACAUGCAAGUCGAACGGAAAGGCCCUGCUUUUGUGGGGUGCUCGAGUGGCGAACGGGUGAGUAACACGUGAGUAACCUGCCCUUGACUUUGGGAUAACUUAAGGAAACUGGGGCUAAUACCGGAUAGGAGCUCCUGCUGCAGGGUGGGGGUUGGAAAGUUUCGGCGGUUGGGGAUGGACUCGCGGCUUAUCAGCUUGUUGGUGGGGUAGUGGCUUACCAAGGCUUUGACGGGUAGCCGGCCUGAGAGGGUGACCGGCCACAUUGGGACUGAGAUACGGCCCAGACUCCUACGGGAGGCAGCAGUGGGGAAUAUUGCACAAUGGGCGGAAGCCUGAUGCAGCAACGCCGCGUGCGGGAUGACGGCCUUCGGGUUGUAAACCGCUUUCGCCUGUGACGAAGCGUGAGUGACGGUAAUGGGUAAAGAAGCACCGGCUAACUACGUG
rnacentral:rRNA from 1 species